CUGGAGUGAUGAUGCUUAGCCAAAUCAGAUAUGUGCUCCAAGUGGCAUGAACCCUGUUUGAGAAAAUGGGAUUUUGCCUCUUGUUGCAGCGCGUCUUAGACGAUAUCACAGAGAAUGGUGUUUGCCUGACCAGA
rfam:Brassica napus, WGS project CCCW01000000 data, contig: 6431